UACGUAGGGUGCGAGCGUUGUCCGGAUUUAUUGGGCGUAAAGAGCUCGUAGGCGGCUUGUCGCGUCGGAUGUGAAAGCCCGGGGCUUAACUCCGGGUCUGCAUUCGAUACGGGCAGGCUAGAGUGUGGUAGGGGAGAUCGGAAUUCCUGGUGUAGCGGUGAAAUGCGCAGAUAUCAGGAGGAACACCGGUGGCGAAGGCGGAUCUCUGGGCCAUUACUGACGCUGAGGCGCGAAAGCCAGGGGAGCAAACGGG
rnacentral:rRNA from 1 species